rnacentral:rRNA from 1 species
UACUAGAGUAGCACUCGCAUAUCAAUAAGCGGAGGAAAAGAAACUAACAAGGAUUCCCCUAGUAACGGCGAGUGAAGCGGGAAGAGCUCAAAUUUGAAAUCUUAAAGGGUUUCCCCUUACGAAUUGUAGUUUAAAGAAGUGUUUUCUGUUGAGGUUUUGGUAGAAGUUCUUUGGAAUAGGACAUCAUAGAGGGUGAGAAUCCCGUAUUUGACCUUUACUUUCAACUUUGUGAUACACUUUCAAAGAGUCGGAUUGUUUGGGAAUGCAGUCCAAAAUGGGUGGUAAAUUUCAUCUAAAGCUAAAUAUUGGCGAGAGACCGAUAGCGAACAAGUACCGUGAGGGAAAGAUGAAAAGAACUUUGAAAAGAGAGUUAAACAGUACGUGAAAUUGUCAAAAGGGAAGCGUUUGACACCAGUGUUGUUUUUCUGAAAAUCAAUUAAAGAACUGUUUAUGCUAAGCUGUUUAGACUUUAUCAGCUAACUGUUUAGUUUUGAGCCUUUUCUUUAUGCACUUUUCAGUUAACAAGUCAACAUCGAUUUCUUUUGCUGUAAAAAAGCUUGAGGAAGGUGGCUUGAGAUUCGUCUUAAGUGUUUAUAGCCUCUUGCCUAUGCAGUCGGAGAGAAUGAGGUCUGCAGCGUAGAUCCUUCGGGGCUAAAUGCAUUUGCGCUAAGUUAUAGCAUUUUAUAGACAACUUGUUGACUAUGAUUUGUCUUGUAGCUUACUCGCUUAUGUUAUUUUACCUACGCUUAGGAUGUUGAUCUCUCACAGUCGAGC